CACGGGUUGAGAGUUGUCGUCACUUUCCUGAUGAGUCAAAGGCAACACGAAACCAGUG
rnacentral:hammerhead_ribozyme from 1 species